AGCUGGAGAGUGAAGUUCCGCUUAACGCCGGGCUGCGAAAGGCGGGGACGUCACACUAUUGGCAGGGAGUAGAGAGAACGGGCUGGUUUAAAGGCCCUUUUUUCUGUCCAUUGGAUGAACUGGAUGUCAACAUUCAGGCUGGGUGGGCGGGGCUGAGAGAGGUCGGUGAGAGCGGCCUUAGCAACCGCCAGUGAGCUGUGAAGACUUGGGUUGGGCGGGGCUGCGAGAGGUGACGCCGGGAGGUCCUGGCUGAGAGCGCCGGCUGCCAGCUGGAGACAUGAUUGCAGUGUGGGCCUUAGGAUUUGAACCAAAGAAAGAAGAAAUUUAAAAAAUGGUAGCUGAAGUUGAUAAAGAAGGAAUUGGCACCAUUAGUUUUGAAGAUUUUUGUUUGCCAUUAUGAGUAUAAAAAUGAUAUAGUUGUGAUUUUAUUUUUCAAAGAAAUACUAGCAAUAACCUGCUACAUUUUAGGGCUGGAGCAAUCAGAACUUUUAUAGAGAAGUAAUUAGAACUAGGUUUUUAAGGAUGGGAGAUAGGAAGAGCAAGAUUAAAUAUGUUUUCAGGGUAGUAAUGAGAAGACUAUGAUGUGGAGAAGAGGUUUUCGUCAGGAAAUAAUGAGGCUAUAUUGCAGGAUAGAGAGAAUGGGGCCAGAAUUUGGAAGCCUUUAAUUCAGCAAACAUAUAUUGAAUGUCUAUUUUUGCCAGGCACUAUUCUAAGGAGCAUUGAAAGAUACAACCUCCCGUUUUGAAGCUUACGUUUUUGGUAACGGAUCUGAAUUAUGAGGCUUAAUAAGAGAUGCAUUCUGGACCACCCUGUGCCUCCUCCACCUCAGCAAGCUCUACAUUUAAGCACCUUGAGGGCAGAUGAAAUGCUUGAUGAAGCUGAUCAUGAUGGAGAUGGAGAAAUAAAUGAGGAAGAUUUUUUGAGAGUGAUGAAAAAGACUACUUGUUAUUAAUAGCGUUGUUUUGGUCCUUGUGGAAAAUUAACAGAUUUGUAUUUGUUAUACAGUUUUAUAAUUUAAUGUCUGAAUAUAUUCAUUUUCAGUUUUUAGUUUAUAUGUACACAUUGGCUUCUUGAUGUCUAAUCCAUGUAAGAAGUUGCACAUCUCUACCAAUAUGAUGUUAAAUCUACAGCAUCAAGAAACAAAACAUAAUGACUUCUUUGAGCCAUUAAUCUAAGAACAGUAUUAAUUCUAGCUGCUCUUUUGAGAACCCUAGGUCACAAAGACUUGGAAUUUUUAAGUUUGAUGAAGUUGGCUUCAUAUCCAAAUGAAUUUGGCAAACAAACCCUAUAUUUUCCUUUUGUGCAACCCAAAAAAACCUGAUGAACAUUUGCUUUUUAGUCAGUUACUCAAAUACAUAAAGUAUUAAAUAGAACUGUCUGGUAACAUUAUUUGCUAAUUUUCUUCUUUCAGUUAUAAAGAAAAUUCAAAAUAGCACUUACAUCACCCAUAUUUCCCUGUAAGUUUGACCCUAUAGUGAGCACUUAAUACCUCUGUGCUAGGACAGGUGGUGUAGAGUUUCAUUUUUUUUUAAUUUUAUUUAUAUGUUUUUUGAGACAAAGUCUCCCUCUGUCACGCAGGCUGGAGUGCAGUGGUGCGAUCUCGGCUCAAUGCAACCUCUGCCUCCUGGGCUCAAGAGAUUCUCCUGCCUCAGCCUGCCGAGUAGCUGGGACUACAGGCACCUGCCACCAUGCCUGUAAUUUUUUGCAUUUUUGGUAGAGACAGAGUUUCACUGUGUUAGCCAUGAUGGUCUCGAUCUCCUGACCUCAUGAUCUGCCUACCUCAGCCUCCCAAACUGCUGGAAUUACAGGGGUGAGCCACUGCGCCUGGCCGAGAUUUUAUGUGUUACCUCAGUAAACAUAUUACAAGUUGGAAGCUGAUUGUAUUAGCUCAAUUUUACAUACAAGAAAACUAAAGUUCAGAGAAGUUUUAAAAAUUCCCCAAUUGCCCAUUGAUAAUAAAUAAAACAUGGAUUCCAAAUCUU